UACAGAGGGUGCUAACGUUGUUCGGAAUUACUGGGCAUAAAGCGUACGUAGGCGGCGCGUCAAGUGCGGGGUGAAAGCCCACGGCUUACCCGUGGAACAGCUUUGCAUACUGACGUGCUAGAGUGCGGUAGAGGAGAGCGGAACUCUUGGUGGAGCGGUGAAAUGCGUAGAUAUCAAGAGGAACACCGAAGGCGAAGGCAGCUCUCUGGGCCGUUACUGACGCUGAGGUACGAAAGCCAGGGGAUCAAACGGG
rnacentral:rRNA from 1 species